GCCCAGAGCCUGAAUCAGUGUGUGUGUUAGUGGAAGCGUCUGGAAAGGCGCGCGAUACAGGGUGACAGCCCCGUACACAAAAAUGCACAUGCUGUGAGCUCGAUGAGUAGGGCGGGACACGUGGUAUCCUGUCUGAAUAUGGGGGGACCAUCCUCCAAGGCUAAAUACUCCUGACUGACCGAUAGUGAACCAGUACCGUGAGGGAAAGGCGAAAAGAACCCCGGCGAGGGGAGUGAAAAAGAACCUGAAACCGUGUACGUACAAGCAGUGGGAGCACGCUUAGGCGUGUGACUGCGUACCUUUUGUAUAAUGGGUCAGCGACUUAUAUUCUGUAGCAAGGUUAACCGAAUAGGGGAGCCGAAGGGAAACCGAGUCUUAACUGGGCGUUAAGUUGCAGGGUAUAGACCCGAAACCCGGUGAUCUAGCCAUGGGCAGGUUGAAGGUUGGGUAACACUAACUGGAGGACCGAACCGACUAAUGUUGAAAAAUUAGCGGAUGACUUGUGGCUGGGGGUGAAAGGCCAAUCAAACCGGGAGAUAGCUGGUUCUCCCCGAAAGCUAUUUAGGUAGCGCCUCGUGAAUUCAUCUCCGGGGGUAGAGCACUGUUUCGGCAAGGGGGUCAUCCCGACUUACCAACCCGAUGCAAACUGCGAAUACCGGAGAAUGUUAUCACGGGAGACACACGGCGGGUGCUAACGUCCGUCGUGAAGAGGGAAACAACCCAGACCGCCAGCUAAGGUCCCAAAGUCAUGGUUAAGUGGGAAACGAUGUGGGAAGGCCCAGACAGCCAGGAUGUUGGCUUAGAAGCAGCCAUCAUUUAAAGAAAGCGUAAUAGCUCACUGGUCGAGUCGGCCUGCGCGGAAGAUGUAACGGGGCUAAACCAUGCACCGAAGCUGCGGCAGCGACGCUUAUGCGUUGUUGGGUAGGGGAGCGUUCUGUAAGCCUGUGAAGGUGUACUGUGAGGUAUGCUGGAGGUAUCAGAAGUGCGAAUGCUGACAUAAGUAACGAUAAAGCGGGUGAAAAGCCCGCUCGCCGGAAGACCAAGGGUUCCUGUCCAACGUUAAUCGGGGCAGGGUGAGUCGACCCCUAAGGCGAGGCCGAAAGGCGUAGUCGAUGGGAAACAGGUUAAUAUUCCUGUACUUGGUGUUACUGCGAAGGGGGGACGGAGAAGGCUAUGUUGGCCGGGCGACGGUUGUCCCGGUUUAAGCGUGUAGGCUGGUUUUCCAGGCAAAUCCGGAAAAUCAAGGCUGAGGCGUGAUGACGAGGCACUACGGUGCUGAAGCAACAAAUGCCCUGCUUCCAGGAAAAGCCUCUAAGCAUCAGGUAACAUCAAAUCGUACCCCAAACCGACACAGGUGGUCAGGUAGAGAAUACCAAGGCGCUUGAGAGAACUCGGGUGAAGGAACUAGGCAAAAUGGUGCCGUAACUUCGGGAGAAGGCACGCUGAUAUGUAGGUGAAGUCCCUCGCGGAUGGAGCUGAAAUCAGUCGAAGAUACCAGCUGGCUGCAACUGUUUAUUAAAAACACAGCACUGUGCAAACACGAAAGUGGACGUAUACGGUGUGACGCCUGCCCGGUGC
rnacentral:rRNA from 1 species